rnacentral:rRNA from 1 species
UACGUAGGGGGCAAGCGUUGUCCGGAUUUAUUGGGCGUAAAGAGCGUGUAGGCGGCCAGACAGGUCAGCUGUGAAAACUCGAGGCUCAACCUCGAGACGUCGGUUGAAACCGUCUGGCUAGAGUCCGGAAGAGGAGAGUGGAAUUCCUAGUGUAGCGGUGAAAUGCGUAGAGAUUAGGAAGAACACCAGUGGCGAAGGCGACUUUCUGGACCGUAACUGACGCUGAGGCAUGAAAGCGUGGGUAGCAAACAGG